UAAUUUUAUUAUUUUAUUUAUUUAUUAAAUAAAUUUUUAUGUAUAUAAAUUUUUAUAAAAAUUGUUUAAAAAAUUUUAAUUUUUUAAUAUAUAAAAUUAUUUAUUAUAAUAAUUUAUUAUAUAUAAAUUAAUUUAAUAUUUAUAAAUUUAGUGCCAGCAAUAGCGGUUAUACUAAAAAUAUAAAUUAAUUAUUUUUAUUAAUUAUUAAAUUUUUUUAUUAUUUUUAAUAAAAUUUUAAUUUUUAAGAUAAAAUUAAAUAUUAUUUUUUAUUAUAAACUAUAAAUAAAAUUAAUUAAAAAAUUUUUAUAAUAAACUAGGAUUAGAUACCCUAUUAUUAAAUUUUAAUUUCUUUAAUAAAUUAGUAAAUGUUUUUUAAAAUUAAAAUUAUUGGCGGUAUUUUAAACUGAUUAGAGAAACUUGAAGAUUAAUUUGAUGUUCCACGAAAAGAAUAACUUUUAAUUUUAUAUUUAUGUAUGUUCGUUAUAAAAAAAAUUAAUUAUAAUUUUUUGAAUAAUUUUAUUAAUUUUAUUUCAGAUCAAUAUAUAAUUUUUAAAAGGUUUUUUGAGUUGCUUUUUAACUAAGGAUUUUAAAUUUUAAUAUUUAAUUGAAGAUUUAAGGAUUUAAUAGUAAAUUUAAUAAAUUAAUUAUUUUGAAUAAGUUUUAAAAUAUGUACAAAUUGCCCGUCGCUUUUAUAUUAUUAAAAUAAGUCGUAACAAAGUAAGCCCACUGGAAAGUGAGCUUAGAAUUUU
rnacentral:ncRNA from 1 species